UACGGAAGGGGCGAGCGUUGUUCGGAAUUAUUGGGCGUAAAGGGCGCGUAGGUGGUUCUGUAUGUCUACCGUGAAAGCGUACGGCUCAACCGUAUUUUGUCGGUAGAAACUGCAGGACUUGAGGCUGGGAGGGGCUGGUGGAAUUCCCUGUGUAGCGGUGAAAUGCGUAGAGAUGGGGGAGAACACUCGUGGCGAAGGCGGCCAGCUAGACCAGUUCUGACACUGAGGCGCGACAGCGUGGGGGAGCAAACAGG
rnacentral:rRNA from 1 species